rnacentral:rRNA from 1 species
GACGAACGCUGGCGGCGUGCCUAAUACAUGCAAGUCGAACGCUAAAGGAGGAGCUUGCUUCUCUGCAUGAGUUGCGAACGGGUGAGUAACGCGUAGGUAACCUGCCUUGUAGCGGGGGAUAACUACUGGAAACGACAGCUAAUACCGCAUAAGAGCUGAUGUUGCAUGACAUUUGCUUAAAAGGUGCAAUUGCAUCACUACCAGAUGGACCUGCGUUGGUUUAGCUAGGUGGUGGGGUAUAGGAUUACCAAGGCGACGAAGCAUAGCCGACCUGAGAUGGUGAGCGGCCGCCCUGGGACUGAGACACGGCCCAGAGGCCUACAGGAGGCACCAGGAGGGCAACUGCAGCCAUGAACGGAAGUCUGAGCGAGAAACGCGGCGGGAGGGUAGAAUGGUGUCGGGUCGUAAAGGUCGGUUGUAAGAGAAGAACGAGUGUGAGAGUGGAAAGUUCACACUGUGACGGUAACUUAUCAGAAAGGGACGGCUAACUACGUG